rnacentral:rRNA from 1 species
CAUGCAAGUCGAACGAUGAAGCCGGGGCUUUUUGUUUUGGUGGAUUAGUGGCGAACGGGUGAGUAAUACGUGAGUAACCUGCCCUUGUCUUUGGGAUAAGCCUGGGAAACUGGGUCUAAUACCGGAUAUUCUGCUUUUGCCGCAUGGUGGGGGUUGGAAAGAUUUUUUGGAUGGGGAUGGGCUCACGGCCUAUCAGCUUGUUGGUGGGGUGAUGGCCUACCAAGGCGUCGACGGGUAGCCGGCCUGAGAGGGUGACCGGCCACAUUGGGACUGAGAUACGGCCCAGACUCCUACGGGAGGCAGCAGUGGGGAAUAUUGCACAAUGGACGCAAGUCUGAUGCAGCGACGCCGCGUGGGGGAUGAAGGCUUUCGGGUUGUAAACUCCUUUCAGUACAGAAGAAGCAUUUUUUGUGACGGUAUGUGCAGAAGAAGCGCCGGCUAACUACGUGCCAGCAGCCGCGGUAAUACGUAGGGCGCGAGCGUUGUCCGGAAUUAUUGGGCGUAAAGAGCUCGUAGGCGGUUUGUUGCGCCUGCUGUGAAAGACCGGGGCUUAACUUCGGGGUUGCAGUGGGUACGGGCAGACUAGAGUGUGGUAGGGGUAAUUGGAAUUCCUGGUGUAGCGGUGGAAUGCGCAGAUAUCAGGAGGAACACCGAUGGCGAAGGCAGGUUACUGGGCCAUUACUGACGCUGAGGAGCGAAAGCGUGGGUAGCGAACAGGAU